rnacentral:rRNA from 1 species
UACGGCGGCCAUAGCGAAAGGGAAACACCCGGUCCCAUCCCGAACCCGGAAGUUUCAGCGCCGAUGGUACUGCAACCGAGAGGUUGUGGGAGAGUAGGACGCCGCCGGAC